rnacentral:rRNA from 1 species
AAGGAUCAUUAUCGAGUUUUUGAAACGGGUUGUCGCUGGUCCCGGUCUUAACAGAGUCGGGACAUGUGCACACCUGGCUUCAUUCCACUCUUCAACCCCUGUGCACUUGUUGUAGGUUUCAGGUCGGACGCGGGGCUUUCGACUUCAUCGUCGAGAGCCUCAAGGAAAGCCUGAGCCUAUGUUUUACCAUACACACGCUUCAGUUAUAGAAUGUAAACAUCGCGUAUAACGCAUCUUAAAUACAACUUUCAGCAACGGAUCGCUUGGCUCUCGCAUCGAUGAAGAACGCAGCGAAAUGCGAUAAGUAAUGUGAAUUGCAGAAUUCGUGAAUCAUCGAAUCUUUGAACGCACCUUGCGCUCCUUGGUAUUCCGAGGAGCAUGCCUGUUUGAGUGUCAUGGAAUUCUCAACCUUUGAAAGCUUUUAUUGGUUCUCAAAGGCUUGGACUUGGAGGUCGUGUCGGCUCUGCAAAGAAUAUCGACUCCUCUGAAACGUAUCAGUGCGAACCUUUACGGAUCGUCUUCGGUGUGAUAAACGUCUACGCCGUGGUCGUGAAGUAUGAUCGUGUCCGUGCUUCUAACCGUCUCCUUUGCGAGACAAAAACUGUGUUACUUACUAUAAGUAACAUAGGCAUUGACAAUCUGACCUCAAAUCAGGUAGGACUACCCGCUGAACUUAA